AAAUUGGUAUGCAGUGUCUUUGUCUGAAGGGGCACAAGUGUCUAUGAGGACAUUUGCAUAUCUCAAAAAACAUGGCCGCCAUUGGCCAAACAAAUUUAAGCACCUAUUAAACAAGGUUAACAGAGGUUGAUCGGAACGAAACUCAGUGGGCAUGUUCGACUCAUGGCCCUAAAGGUCUGUAAGAAUUUUGAAAGAAAUCGGCCACUAGUUGGCGCUAACGAGUUUUUUGGCUCAGUAAUCACGUGGUGUUACACAGAUUCACACAAUAUGCAUAUCAUUUGAUAGAUCUCCUCAUAAUCCACAACUUUGCCUCAAGAACCAUUGCUGUCAGUCAAAUCGUUCAUUAAUUAUUCACAAAUAUGUUAAAAACCUGCUUUUGCGAACUAGUCCUAGGUUUUUCGCCCAAUCAGAACCAAACCACUGCAGUAAUAUUCUCUGGACUCUCUAGAUCAAUAAUUAUCAAAAAAAUGUUGAAUUUUGUCCUUUGGUUAGCUAUAACUGGGUUAUUUUUAAAAGGGGCGUGGCCAAAUAUACUCAAAAGCCUAUAAAACCUAAAUGAAAACUCAAAUCUUUAUGAAACUUGGUGAAAACAUGUAGCAGAUGACUCUUAUCAAGCAUGCAAAAAUUCAUGGAGAUCGGACAAUAGGUGGCGUUAUAACAGUUAAAAGGGCAUCAAAAAACACAAGAUUUCUAUAGAAAAUGACGUCAAAUUGUAGAACAUGUUCAUAUAUUCACACAAACACUAGAUCUUAACAUCAUAUGAUAGAACUCCUCAUUCUGAACAACUUUGCCUCUAGGCCUAAUGCUGUCAAUCAAAUCGUUCAUUAAAUAUUCACAAAUAAGUUAAAAACUUACUUUUGCGAACUAGUCCUAGGUUUUCCACUUAAUCUCGAUCAAACUACUACAGAACAAUUCUCUGGACUCUUUAGAUCAAUAAUUAUCAAAAAAAUGUUGAAUUUUGUCCUUUGGUUAGCUAUAACAGGUUAAUUUAGAAAAGGGGUGUGGCCAAAAUACCCAAAAGCCUAUAAAACCUAAACGAAAACUCAAAACUUUACGAAACUUGAUGACAACAUGUGUCAGAUGACUCUUAACAAUUAUACAAAGUUUCAUAGAGAUCUGAUCAUAGGUGGUGCUAAAAACGGUUACAAAGGCCUCAAAAACUCAAGAUUUAUAUGGUAAAUAGCCUCAAAUUAGUUAAAAUUCUCAUAUAUUCACACAAACACUAGAUCUUCAUAUCAUAUGAUAGAGCACCUCAUUCUGAAAAACUUUAGGACCAAUGUUGUCAAUAAAACUGUUAAUUAAAUAUUCAAGAUUAUUUAAAAAAGCUACUUUUGCAAACUAGUCCAACGGUUUAAGCUGAAAAUCAAUAAAACCACUGAAGUACAAUUCUCUAGACACUGUAGGUCAAUAAUUAUCAAAAAAAAAAAAAAAUUUUAAACAAUUGCAUUUGGACAACUAUUAAGCGGUCAUUUUAUUAUAUGUUCUUAACAUAGUGUACCCAAAGGCCUAUUAAUACAAACAGACAGCCCACAAAUUAUCAAAACUGUGUAAAAUAAUGCAUAUUUUCAUUCUAGAGAAGCAUGCAAAAUUUAAGAGGGAUUGGGCAAAAAAUAACACUCUAAUAGUUAUAAAUUUUAAAAACACAGUGUUGUAUGAGAAAUUGCCAUAUUUAACCACUAGAUGGCAGCGGAAGAUCACUAAUGGGCUAAUUCAUCUAACAUUAAACAGUUCAAAGGUUUUAUGGAUUCAUGUCAAAACAAUUAAAAACCAAUGUUAUAACAUUUAAAAUCUCGUUGAGUCAAAGUUUGUCAGCCAUACAUCCAGGUUGGCCGAGACCAUCCCAAAGGUCUUAAAGUGCUUGAACCCCGGUAAUCGCUGCUUGCAGCUAUAUUUAUUAGGGGUUCAAGCACGCAGUGCUGAAACCCUCUUGUAAUUGUUAGGAUUAUUAUUAUUAUUAUUAUUAUUAUUAUUAUUAUUCUUCUGCCCUAAAACUGAUCGUGCAGACCAAACCGUAAGGCCUAGAGACUUGAAAUUUG
ensembl:lncRNA